rnacentral:rRNA from 1 species
UGGGGAAUAUUGCACAAUGGGCGAAAGCCUGAUGCAGCAACGCCGCGUGAGUGAUGAAGGUCUUCGGAUUGUAAAGCUCUGUCUUUUGGGACGAUAAUGACGGUACCAAAGGAGGAAGCCACGGCUAACUACGUGCCAGCAGCCGCGGUAAUACGUAGGUGGCGAGCGUUGUCCGGAUUUACUGGGCGUAAAGGGUGCGUAGGCGGAUGUUUAAGUGAGAUGUGAAAUACCCGGGCUUAACUUGGGUGCUGCAUUUCAAACUGGAUAUCUAGAGUGCAGGAGAGGAGAAUGGAAUUCCUAGUGUAGCGGUGAAAUGCGUAGAGAUUAGGAAGAACACCAGUGGCGAAGGCGAUUCUCUGGACUGUAGCUGACGCUGAGGCACGAAAGCGUGGGUAGCAAACAGGAUUAGAUACCCUGGUAGUCCACGCCGUAAACGAUGAGUACUAGGUGUAGGAGGUAUCGACCCCUUCUGUGCCGCAGU